AGGACAUUCUUUCGAUCCAGGCUUGCAGGGUGGCUCCAGGUCAUCUUUCUCGAAGGUGGAUUUGAGAUCGGGAUAUCAUCAGCUUCGAGUCAGAGAGCAGGAUGUGCAGAAGACGGCGUUUCGUACUCGUUACGGGCACUAUGAGUUCCUCGUGAUGCCGUUCGGGUUGACGAAUGCGCCAGCAGUGUUCAUGGCUUUGAUGAACAAGAUCUUCGCUCCGCACCUCGACAGCUUCACAGUGGUCUUCAUCGACGAUGUGUUGGUCUACUCCAAGUCCAGAGAGGAGCAUGAGCAGCAUUUGAGGACAUCUCUACAGUUGUUGCGCGACAACCAGUUGUACGCGAAGCUCAGCAAGUGCGAGUUCUGGAAA
rnacentral:misc_RNA from 1 species